rnacentral:rRNA from 1 species
UAGGGAAUAUUGGGCAAUGGGCGCGAGCCUGACCCAGCCAUGCCGCGUGCCGGAUGAAGGCCUUCUGGGUUGUAAACGGCUUUUCUCAGGGAAGAAAAAGGUGAUGCGUCACAAACUGACGGUACCUGAGGAAUAAGCACCGGCUAACUCCGUGCCAGCAGCCGCGGUAAUACGGAGGGUGCAAGCGUUGUCCGGAUUUAUUGGGUUUAAAGGGUGCGUAGGUGGCUUGUUAAGUCCGGGGUGAAAGCCCACAGCUCAACUGUGGAACUGCCCUGGAUACUGGCGAGCUUGAGUCCAGACGAGGUUGGCGGAAUGGAUGCUGUAGCGGUGAAAUGCAUAGAUAGCAUCCAGAACCCCGAUUGCGUAGGCAGCUGACUAGGCUGGUACUGACACUGAGGCACGAAAGCGUGGGGAGCGAACA